rnacentral:rRNA from 1 species
GGCGACCGGCGCACGGGUGAGUAACGCGUAUGCAACUUACCUAUCAGAGGGGAAUAGCCCGGCGAAAGUCGGAUUAAUGCCCCAUAAAACAGGGGUCCCGCAUGGGACUAUUUGUUAAAGAUUCAUCGCUGAUAGAUAGGCAUGCGUUCCAUUAGGCAGUUGGCGGGGUAACGGCCCACCAAACCGACGAUGGAUAGGGGUUCUGAGAGGAAGGUCCCCCACAUUGGAACUGAGACACGGUCCAAACUCCUACGGGAGGCAGCAGUGAGGAAUAUUGGUCAAUGGACGUGAGUCUGAACCAGCCAAGUCGCGUGAAGGAAGAAGGUUCUAUGGAUUGUAAACUUCUUUUAUACGGGAAUAAAGUGCAUCACGUGUGGUGUUUUGUAAAUACCGUAUGAAUAAGCAUCGGCUAACUCCGUACCAGCAGCCGCGGUAAUACGGAGGAUGCGAGCGUUAUCCGGAUUUAUUGGGUUUAAAGGGUGCGUAGGUUGUUUUUUAAGUCAGCGGUGAAAGUUUGUGGCUCAACCAUAAAAUUGCCGUUGAAACUGGAAGACUUGAGUGUGUUUGAGGUAGGCGGAAUGCGUGGUGUAGCGGUGAAAUGCAUAGAUAUCACGCAGAACUCCGAUUGCGAAGGCAGCUUACUAAACCAUAACUGACACUGAAGCACGAAAGCGUGGGGAUCAAACAGGAUUAGAUACCCUGGUAGUCCACGCAGUAAACGAUGAUUACUAGGAGUUUGCGAUAUACAGUAAGCUCUACAGCGAAAGCGUUAAGUAAUCCACCUGGGGAGUACGCCGGCAACGGUGAAACUCAAAGGAAUUGACGGGGGCCCGCACAAGCGGAGGAACAUGUGGUUUAAUUCGAUGAUACGCGAGGAACCUUACCCGGGUUUGAACGUAGUCGGACCGGCCUUGAAAGAGGCCUUCUAGCAAUAGCUGAUUACGAGGUGCUGCAUGGUUGUCGUCAGCUCGUGCCGUGAGGUGUCGGCUUAAGUGCCAUAACGAGCGCAACCCUUAUCACUAGUUACUAACAGGUAAAGUUGAGGACUC